UCAGCGGCGCCCAGCGCCAUGAAACCGUUCUUCGCGUCUCGCAGUCUGCAACUCACGUUCUCUAGUCUUCUCUCUGCUCCGCUUUUUGAAUAUAAAAGCGAAAUAAUAAAAAGUGACUGUGUGGCUUGUGUAUGUGUGUGUGUGUGCGUGUGUGCGUGAGGCCCUUCCGUCGUCUCCGAUCACUUUCCUUCUCUCUGUGUCUUCUGGAAGCGCACACAUUUCUACACUUCCAGAUCAAGGUGGGCGCGGAAACGGAGAGAACUGUUUGCGCAGCUUUUC
ensembl:ncRNA F13H6.27 ncRNA